GGGGUGGGCGGCGACGCUUGGAAUGGCCCGCCGCGCACAGCCCUCUGGGGGUUGUAGUUCACGAGGAGCAACCUCGCUUUUCAUUGGUUCCGGGGACCGAGAUGAAAGGACUCCAACUCCCAGAGUGCAUGAUGUAAGCGCCGCGGCCGCCCCACGUUUCGACAUUGUUGUCAUGUGCGAUUCUUUGACCCUUUUCUCAUUGAAGUGACAGUUGAGGGACUUUGUGGUGCAGUGUAGUGUCCCCUGUUCUAAGUCCCACCUGCUCCAGAGGUGUGACAGAAUAACUCUAAACAAGUCAUGUGUAAUAUCCAUUACUUGAAGUGACGGAUGAUUAGUAUUGGAGUUUAUCCGUGCAAAUAAUCAGUAAUUUGGGGCAGCAGCAACAUCCAUAACACCUCUCCACUGAACAGACCAGACCUCUGCAUCAUCUCCUGCAUAAGCUCUGAUGAAGAAGCCACAG